GACGAACGCUGGCGGCGUGCCUAAUACAUGCAAGUCGAGCGCAGGAAAUCGACGGAACCCUUCGGGGGGAAGUCGACGGAAUGAGCGGCGGACGGGUGAGUAACACGUAAAGAACCUGCCCUCAGGUCUGGGAUAACCACGAGAAAUCGGGGCUAAUACCGGAUGGGUCAUCGGACCGCAUGGUCCGAGGAUGAAAGGCGCUUCGGCGUCGCCUGGGGAUGGCUUUGCGGUGCAUUAGCUAGUUGGUGGGGUAAUGGCCCACCAAGGCGACGAUGCAUAGCCUGCCUGAGAGGGUGAACGGCCACACUGGGACUGAGACACGGCCCAGACUCCUACGGGAGGCAGCAGUAGGGAAUCUUCCACAAUGGACGAAAGUCUGAUGGAGCAACGCCGCGUGAACGAUGAAGGCCUUCGGGUCGUAAAGUUCUGUUGUAAGGGAAGAACAAGUGCCGCAGGCAAUGGCGGCACCUUGACGGUACCUUGCGAGAAAGCCACGGCUAACUACGUGCCAGCAGCCGCAGUAA
rnacentral:rRNA from 1 species